UACGUAGGUGGCAAGCGUUGUCCGGAAUUAUUGGGCGUAAAGCGCGCGCAGGCGGUCCUUUAAGUCUGAUGUGAAAGCCCACGGCUCAACCGUGGAGGGUCAUUGGAAACUGGGGGACUUGAGUGCAGGAGAGAAGAGUGGAAUUCCACGUGUAGCGGUGAAAUGCGUAGAGAUGCGGCGGAACACCGAAUGGCGAAGGCAGCCCCUGGGCUGAGAUUGACGCUCAGGCACGAAAGCGUGGGGAGCAAACAGG
rnacentral:rRNA from 1 species